rnacentral:rRNA from 1 species
GAUGAACGCUAGCUACAGGCUUAACACAUGCAAGUCGCGGGGCAGCAUGGGGGUUGCUUGCAAUCCCCGAUGGCGACCGGCGCACGGGUGAGUAACGCGUAUCCAACCUGCCCUUCACCACGGGAUAACCCGGCGAAAGUCGGACUAAUACCGUAUGUUGUCCAUUGACGGCAUCCGAUUUGGACGAAAGGUUUGGCGGUGAAGGAUGGGGAUGCGUCCGAUUAGCUGGACGGCGGGGUGACGGCCCACCGUGGCGACGAUCGGUAGGGGUUCUGAGAGGAAGGUCCCCCACACUGGAACUGAGACACGGUCCAGACUCCUACGGGAGGCAGCAGUGAGGAAUAGUGGUCAAUGGGCGUAAGCCUGAACCAGCCAAGUAGCGUGCAGGAUGACGGCCCUAUGGGUGGUAAACUGCUUUUAUGCGGGGAUAAAGUGGCCCACGUGUGGGUUUUUGCAGGUACCGCAUGAAUAAGGACCGGCUAAUUCCGUG